GGGAAGGGGUGCUGGUCGAUCUUCAUCGGCUUGGCUGAUUUUGUUGGUACUUCAAAUUUAAGUCUGCCCUGCUCAAUGGCCGACUGUAUCUGCUGCCGGAAGAUUUUGCACUCAUUAGUGUCAUGGGAUGUAGCGUUGUGCCACUUGCAAUAUUUCAUCUUCUUCAGUUGUUCGGCAGAAGGUAUCGUAUGAUAUGGCGAGAGCUUGAUCUGCCCUUCCUGGAGGAGAAGGUCGAAGAUUUUAUCGGCCUUCGACGUGUCAAAGCCGAACGUUUCUGGCUCCUUCUUGCCGAACGGGCAUGAUAUCGGCUUCUUUCCCUUAACCCAUUC
rnacentral:lncRNA from 1 species